UACUAAAGGUGCAAGCGUUAAUCGGAAUUACUGGGCGUAAAGCGCGCGUAGGUGGUUUGUUAAGUUGGAUGUGAAAGCCCAGGGCUCAACCUUGGAACUGCAUUCAAAACUGACUCACUAGAGUACGAGAGAGGUUAGUGGAAUUUCCUGUGUAGCGGUGAAAUGCGUAGAGAUGGGAAGGAACACCAGUGGCGAAGGCGACUGACUGGCUCGAUACUGACACUGAGGUGCGAAAGCGUGGGGAGCAAACAGG
rnacentral:rRNA from 1 species